CUCUCAUAACUGAAACUAACUCCUUAGGACCAACAGUGAAGUUGGUACUCUGAAAGCUUUGGAACACCCCAAUUCUUUUGAUGGGGCCAAGAAGGCCCUUCAAUAUACUUCCUCAACAGUUCCAAACUAUCUCCUUCUUGUCCUGGUUUCCUAUAGUCCCCAAUCGUGUUUGAAUCAGGGCAUAUAUUUGGCUGCUUUAAAGUGCAACUUAAUAGUGGAAAACACUAAUUUUAAGAAAUCACAUAUGAAAGGGGAAUGAAGAACCAAGGCUAAAAAUGGAGGAUAUGAGGCACAGUCAACUUUGGGAGAAAACAAUAGUACAAUUAAUGUAUUUCUUCAAUUUAUGUGCAUGGCCGGACCACUGUGUAUCAUAAUUUUUAAAGAGAGAUUUGAGUGCUUUCAUCAGGCUUGAAGGACUGAUGUUAUAGUAGGAUGAUUCGUUAAAGCACUCAUAUGAACGUUCUCGCUACGGAUCCUUUAAUAGAUUCUGAUGCAUCACUUAGUGAAGUAAUCUAUGUAUACAUGUGAUUUGUUUUGUUGGAUAAGAAUCUAAAAUUUAUUUUAA